CUUCGGUUUCACAGAGCAACGAGAUGGGAAAACAGGUAUCUAAACAAAGUGGGCACGUGUUUGCAAAAAGCCAU
rnacentral:lncRNA from 1 species